CAAGCAUCUGCCUGUAUAUAACCUGUAAAAUUUCGAUAACAACUAUUCCGUAUUUGUACGUAAGGAAGAUUAUUUUACUAUUUAGAAAGAAAACGGAGUUCACGACUUAGAACAAUCUGAGUAUCUCGGCGAAAGGUCGUGUCUGAAGAACGAACCAUCAUGCCGGAGACAAAGCAAACGUUAAAGGAGGUUCUACCGAAACAAGGACUCCUUUAUCAGGAAGACAUGCCGACAGUGGUGUUGUGUAAGCCUAAAAUUCUGCCUCUGAAGUCUGUAACUCUAGAGAAACUUGAGCGUAUGCAGCGUGAUGCCCAAGAGACGGUGAAACAACAGGAGUUGCAACAACCGGCCGAAAAGGACUUCUUCAGUGACUUCUCAUAACUGGGGAGUGCUCUAGUGAUUUUUUUUGGAGGAGAUUUCCGGAUUUAUUGUCUAUUGACGGGAUCUAAAAAGUUAAUAACAUGAUAAAGGUACAAUCUGACUAUAGGAUCGGUUUUUCUCAUGUUAACAGAGAUGGGUUUAAACUUAAAAAUAUAGUACCAGUAUUUUGAACAAUCAUCCUUGAUUGUACAAAUUACCAAUGUGAUCACAUAUAUAUCUUAUAGAAUAGUUAUAGUUACCAGUAUGGAAUGUGUUCAUAAAUCCGUCCAUGUGAAUUUAACAAUGUUUAUGCUUCGUAAUGUAACAAUUACCUUGCUUCAUUGAGUUUUGUGAUUCUGGUUUCCUUUAGAUUUAAGUUACCCAAUUAUUUUCAUUAAAAAUAUAAAACAAAGAAAGGAUUUCAAAUAAAAUACUGUCAAAAUAUU